rnacentral:rRNA from 1 species
AUUGAACGCUGGCGGCAGGCCUAACACAUGCAAGUCGAACGAGCGGAGGAUGGGUGAGUAAUGUCUUGGAAACUGCCUUAUGGAGGGGGAUAACUACUGGAAACGGUAGCUAAUACCGCAUACCAUCAGAUGUGCCCAUAUCGGCUUAUCUGUUAGGUGGGGUAACGGCUUACCUAGGCGACGAUCCCUAGCUGGUCUGAGAGGAGGACCAGCCACGCUGGACCUGAGACACGGUCCAGGCUCCUAUGGGAGGCAGCAGUGGGGAAUAUUGCACAAUGGGCGGAAGCCUGAUGCAGCCAGGCCGAGUGUGUGAAGAAGGCCUUCGGGUUGGAAAGCACUUUCAGCGGGGAGGCGUGACCCGCAGAAGAAGCACCGGCUAACUCCGUGCCAGCAGCCGCGUAAUAC